rnacentral:rRNA from 1 species
GAUCAUGGCUCAGGACGAACGCUGGCGGCGUGCUUAACACAUGCAAGUCGAGCGAUGAAGUUUCCUUCGGGAAACGGAUUAGCGGCGGACGGGUGAGUAACACGUGGGUAACCUGCCUCAUAGAGUGGAAUAGCCUUCCGAAAGGAAGAUUAAUACCGCAUAAUGUUGAAAGAUGGCAUCAUCAUUCAACCAAAGGAGCAAUCCGCUAUGAGAUGGACCCGCGGCGCAUUAG